CGGGUUGUAAAGCACUUUCAGUAGGGAGGAAGGUAGUGUAGUUAACACCUGCAUUAUUUGACGUUACCUACAGAAGAAGCACCGGCUAACUCCGUGCCAGCAGCCGCGGUAAUACGGAGGGUGCGAGCGUUAAUCGGAAUUACUGGGCGUAAAGCGCAUGCAGGCGGCCUGUUAAGUCAGAUGUGAAAGACCCGGGGCGUUAACCUCGGAAUUGCAUUUGUAAACUGGCAGGCUAGAGUCUUGUAGAGGGGGGUAGGAAUUUCAGGUGUAGCGGUGAAAUAGCGUAGAGAUCUGAAGGAAUACCAGUGGCGAAGGCGGCCCCCUCGGACAAAGACUGACGCUCAGAUGCGAAAGCGUGGGGAGCAAACAGGAUUAGAUACCCUGGUAG
rnacentral:rRNA from 1 species